AAAAAAAAAAACAAAAAAAAGGAAAAAGAAAAGGAAGAAAGAAGAAAAGACUAGAAGAGAAGAAGAACCAAUUUCUUCAAUCCUCCUUCCUCUGCCGUGAACCAAAACAAAAUCCCCUUCUCCAUCUUUUCUCUUCUACACCAAAAUUCCUUCAAAUUUCCAUCUCCAAUCACUUACCCAUCUUCUCCCAACACAUUUUCAAAGUAGAAUUUGAAGAAAAGAAGAGAAAUCAAAGAGAAAAUUCAAGAUUGAGGGAGAGUGAAUAGUAACCAAGGGUUUGGAAAUUUAAAGAUAUGUUAGGGGUUUUGAUGUAGGGAUGUUUCUUAUUAUUUUUAUAUGAAUAUUUAUGAAAAAUAUUGUAUUAAUAUGAUUUAUUGGUUUAUUUUUUUUCAUGAAGAAGAAGUGAAAGGGAAGAGUGGAAACUCUAAAGGAAAAGGAAAAGAAAAAGAAAAGGAAGAUUAGGAAAUUUUAAGCUUGUGGAAGAUUUUGAAAGGUUAAGGUUUGUGCUCAACUUUAUUUGAGUAAAUUUAAGAAUUUGUUAAUUAUGUUCUAUUUGAAAAUUUUACUACCCUAGUAGAAAUAGACCAAGUGAAUAAUAGUUUAAUUAUAUUGUAUAAUCCAAGUUUGAGAAAUAAUAGAUUGAAUAAAUAGAAAAUUUUAAAAUUCAUAUGUAAUUUAAACAAAAUUUAAGUGAUGGAUCUAAUGAAAUGACUCUAUUUUCUUUGAUAGAAAUAUAAUUUGGUUAGAUAUAGUAUUAAUAAAAAAAAUUUAGUAGACUAAAAAAAAGGAGAGAAAUUAGAUUAGAUGAAAAAAAAAACAUAAUAGAACUGACAGGAAUCAGAAAAGUGAGAUAUAGUGUAAAUAUGAUGUUUAAAAAUAAUAAUAAUUAAAAAAAGAAUAAUAGUUAAUUAAUUAAGGAUUAAAUUAUGAAUUUGUAAUUUAUGUAAUUGAAUUGAAUUCAUAGAUUCAUAUGAUAUGACAAUGUUUAAAAGUAAUGUUUAAAAGUAGAGUUAUAAUAUGAUACAAUAUUAUAGUUGAAGAAUUGAAAGUUAUACUGUAUUGGAAGUUUUUGUCCCCCUGUGUAAAUGUAUAAAUUAUUUAAAGUCUAGCCCUAGUAAGUUUGGUGGGAAUUGUGAGUUAGUUUAAGGGUGUGGCAUGCCAUAUACAGAUUUUGCAGUACUGCACUACAGUUACACUGAUUUUUAGGAUGCAAUAAGGUACCUGUAACGACCCGAAAAUCGGACCGCUACCGGCGCUAGGAUCCAGAUCGGCUUAAGGCCGUCGGGACCCGUAGCAAGCUUGACAUAUAACCUGUAAACCUGUAUAAUCCCAUACAUGAUCAACAACAUGCAUAAAAAUUUAAACUUUUCUUUCAUUCAUCCAACUCAACCUGAACAUAGUUACAAUCAUAAACAUGAUCCCUCUGUGGGAUCUCAUCAAUGCCCCAACGGGCGAUACAACAUGAGAGAGAACUGAAGAUGAUUGAGUUUGAGCAACUGAGGCAGUCAGAGCACAUGGGUGUAGAUGAGUUUUAAGAAUUUAUCCGUGAACUCCUCUACACCCAUGUGCUCUGACUGCCUCAGUUGCUCAAACUCAAUCAUCUUCAGUUCUCUGGAAUUGUCUGGAAAAGCCCAUCCAGCGAACUCAUUCGCAAAUUCUUCCCAUGUCAUACCGUCUAGUCUCGGGUCCACAUAACACUUGAACCAUUCCCGUGCCUUCUUGCACUUUAAAGUGAACCCUGCCAUCUGAAUGGCCCUGCUGUCACUUGCCCCUAGCUCAUCAGUUAUUGUCUUCACCACUCUCAGAUACUCAAAGGGGUCAUCCCCUGACUUGUAUUUGGGAGCAUCCAGCUUGAGGUAAUCUGUCAUCUAUAGGUACCCUACAGUUAUAGACUCAGCUUUUGAGCCAUACAAUUAUUUGGCACUUUGUGCCCUACAGUUACAGUUUCCUUAUCUGACUUAACAGUCCCAUUUAAAUUUAUAGGGGCCAACAGAAAAAUAAUAUAUAAAUAAAAAUACUAAGAGAAAAUAAAACUUUUUACAUGAUGAAGAAAAAGAAAAGGAUUAUGAAAUUAAAAUAUGUAUAUAUAUGUGAAUUAAUAAUAUGAUUUAGAUUAUUUCAAAUUAUUUGUUAUAUAGUUAUUUGUUAUUUGUUUGAAUUACUGUUAUUACCUGAAUUUUGAUUUAAAUGUUUUAUUUAUAAAAAAAAAAAUGAAGUUGAGUACCACUAAGCAAAUUGCUUAGCGCGUAUGAAUUUAUUUUUCCUCGCACAGGUUAUGGAUCCAAGUAGCAGUAGAUCAUGAUCUGCAUCAACCCAGCCAGAAUUACAUCAUUAACUAUCUUGGGAUAUAUUUUGUAAAUUUUUAUAUGAAUUUGAUUUUAGAAAUAUGGCAUGUACAUAAAGUUUUAGAGAUGAAGUUGUAUAUGGUUGGUUUAGAUAUAUUUGAAGAUUUUAAUUUUGAUGUAAAUAUGGAUUAUUAGAAUAAAUUUUAUAUUGAGAUUUAUGAGAUGGUUUAUGAAGUAUUUGAUCUGAGCUGAAAUUGUGUUGAUGUUAAAAGAAGUUUGGGGGUUAAGGUUGAAGUUUAUAGAAGUGUGAUAUUACUAUUCACAUGUGGAUUUAAGUCAUAUUUCAGGGAAAACUUUGCCGGAUUUUCGGUUAAACAAAAAAAAAAAGGAAAAAAGCCAUGGUUUACAUGAUAUAAAUUAAAGUAAAAAUAAGAAAACUGUUAUAAAAUGUGAUGUCUCCGGCUCGGUUAAUUAAAUAACCGGGUAGGGGGUGUUAUAAGAAUGGCAGGCCACUAAAGUCCGGUCGAAAGAGCAAACCACCAAUGUCAAACCUUCUAAAAGGAAACCCACCAAUAUCAGGGAUAAAAUUCACUCCAUUAGUUCGAUCUAUGAUAAGUCGUGCAAUUCAACUGAUCGCACCUCCCUUCGAAGUUCAUAAGUGCCUGCCAAAUAAACAAA
rnacentral:lncRNA from 1 species